rnacentral:misc_RNA from 1 species
AAGUCGUAACAAGGUUUCCGUAGGUGAACCUGCGGAAGGAUCAUUAUUGAAUAAACUUGGUUGGGUUGUUGCUGGCUUCUAGGAGCAUGUGCACGCCUAAUCCAUUUUUAACCACCUGUGCACCUUAUGUAGACUUUGAACAGCUCUCGAGACAAUGUACUCGGUUUGAGAAUUGCUGAUGGGUGAAAGCUUCAGCUCUUCUUGUGUUCAAGUCUAUGUCUUAUAUUUCACCCCAUACGAAUGUAUUAGAAUGUAAUGAAUUGGCCUUGUGCCUUUAAAACAUAAAUACAACUUUCAACAACGGAUCUCUUGGCUCUC